rnacentral:lncRNA from 1 species
ACACGACUAGUAACCUGACACAACUAGUACGACGGGCUCGGACUCUGCUAAAAGUUCUGACAUGAUUUUUUUCCCAACCCGGAACCGAACCGAUCCAAUCUAAACACACCAAGCCUAACUCGAUAAUGCUGAGAGAUUUUAUUCAAAAAAUUAUAAGGCCUCAUUUAGUUCACCCAAAAACCAAUAAUUUUUCAAGAUUUACUGUCACAUCGAAUCUUGCGACAUAUAUAUAAAGUAUUAAAUAUAGAUAAAAACAAAAAUUAAUUGCAUAAUUUGACUUUAAAUUGUGAGACGAAUCUUAAGACUAGUUACUCCAC